rnacentral:lncRNA from 1 species
GGCAGCCCUAGCAACGGAAUCUACUUUGUAAGGAAGAAUGACUUCAUCGGGUAGUUCCAGCGAUGGCUUGGGGACAUUUUGAGGGCUUUCAAGUCCCUGCUGUGGACAAUCUGCAUGUGACAGCUGAGACAGGAGGAAGAGGCCCAAGGGAACGCAUUCCUGCUAGGACAGAGCUGGCUGGCUGCACAGUGGAGAGUGUUUGCUGGAAGCUGCUACCAGCCAUGGGGCACCUACCCGCCCAGCGGCCCUUGCAUCCAGAUGCAGAGCCCUGGACAAAGGACGGAGCUGUGAAAACAGUGCCUGGAGGAUCUGAUCCCUUCUAGCAAGGCCAAGAGACACGGCUGGGCUGGGGAGGACGGGGUCUCCAGGCCUCACCAUGGCCACUUAUCUAGACGCCAGCAUCAAAAGGUUCAAAGCCCAGGUCACAGGCUCAUGAAAAAAUUAAGCAGGUAUCAAAAAAUAUCACAAAGGCAACAGUUUUAUGACAUGAAAACAUCUAUCAGAGACAAUAUAAACCUGUCUGCUAAUAGAACCAGGAUUGGACUUUCCCAGGAUGACCAGGUCGCAAGGGUUGAGAUGACAAAAUCCCCUUAUGGAUGGGACUUCUUGGUCCUGGGUUCCCUUGACUGUGGCUUCCAGAAGAGAAGAGCUUUGGAGUCCUGCUGAGAGUGCCAAAACUGUGGGGGCCAAGAGAUAACUCUCCCUUCACCCUCUGAAGUUUCACUGAAACAUCAACCGACAAAAAGCAGAUUAAUAGGAGAAAUGGCAUACGAAUGUGUUAAGGUGCGUGGAGGGAAUAUCACAGAGUGGUUACCCCAACCCCUCAAUGGUGUACAGAGCUUAUAUACCAUCCUGAGCUUCCAAAAAGAAUAAAGGCUAACAGCAUAU